rnacentral:rRNA from 1 species
CAGUCGCCGCGGUAAUACGUAGGUGGCAAGCGUUGUCCGGAAUUAUUGGGCGUAAAGGGCUCGCAGGCGGUUUCUUAAGUCUGAUGUGAAAGCCCCCGGCUCAACCGGGGAGGGUCAUUGGAAACUGGGAAACUUGAGUGCAGAAGAGGAGAGUGGAAUUCCACGCGUAGCGGUGAAAUGCGUAGAGAUGUGGAGGAACACCAGUAGCGAAGGCGACUCUCUGGUCUGUAACUGACGCUGAGGAGCGAAAGCGUGGGGAGCGAACAGGAUUAGAUACCCCGGUAGUCCCUGUCUCUUAUAC